AAUGUUUCUUGGCCUUUUGACUAAGAUCAAGUGUUGUAUCUGUUCUUAUCAGUACACCCCACUGAUGGAACAGAGAACCUAUUGAUCGUAUUGAAGUAUUGAAGCACAAGCCUUUUUUUGUGCCCAGGACUUGCACACCCUGGGGUGUCAGAACUCACAGGCCUCCACUACUUACCUGUGGUUUUAUGACACUAU
rfam:Xenopus laevis strain J chromosome 7L, whole genome shotgun sequence.